GUUUGGGUCUGGCAUUGCUGCCUCGCAUGCCAGACUGUCCUGCACAUCCAGUACCGUCAGCACAGUUGGUUGGGUAUUGUGGGUUUGCCCAUUAGCUGUCAUUAGGUGUUGAUAAGAAAAAGCCUCUGCUCUAAUUGUGAUAGACUGGUGUUCAUUACUGUGUUUUUUUGCUUUAAUCCUGUGGUGAGAUCCUGUUUCACAAGAGCAUGAAAUCAGCUGAAUUGCAAAGCACCCCUUAUCUACAGCCAAUACUCCUGCCAGUGUUUGUUUGGAUUGAACAGCCUACAGCGUUGGUAAAGAAACGUUACUGAGUGUAGUUGCAAGUACCAUUGUCCCACAUGAGCCACCCUGUUAAUCUUUGCAGUUACAUUUUCCAUUCAUUUCAGUUUAAUAGAUAAGUCCACGCUGUAAAGACUUACACAAUUAAAUUAGGAAACUGACUGAUCUAUUCAAUUAAGUACGAUGUUAAUAUCUGAACAAAGCUAAAUUUAAAGGGAGAAAAUUGGGUUUUCCUCUCUCAAGUGUUUUGGUACAGGACAUUAGAACAACAACUGUAUAAAACUUGGGAGCUAAACUUUGUGCCUGUCCAGCAACUGUAUUGAAGAACACCCUGAAAUUCCAGGUACUUUGGGCAUAAAGCAGGGAACUGAGACAAAUACAAACCAGAAUUUAGUCAAAUAAAAGACUUCAUUUGAUGUUGUCUUUGCUACUAAGCUGGUCAAUGGGAAAAGAGGAAAUUUCAGUCUGAACGUUAUAGCGCAACAUACCUAUUGACAGGUGAAAUUUGGAGUUCUGUUCUUUAAUACAAAAUGCAAGCAGUGACCCAAAGAACCUUCCUGUCCGGACGGCGCCGACAACAGAGAUGAGCAAGGCAGUUAAAGAAAUGGAACUUGCCUGUGCAGCAACGCCUUGGCUGGCUUUGCUGGGUGGACCCGAGAGUCGUAACCACGGUAGGAGAAGACCUCGCUCUCCCGCGGAUGAAGAAGGAGUCGCAUUCGCUUUUCCCUGCUGGUGGCCACCAGAGGGGGCCCGGCUCCCACGGCUUUUCCAGCUCCUGCACCAGAAGGCCAUUUGGCAGCUGAACAGCAUCAGCUUUUUAUUUUUUCUCUUGCCUCCAGAUGUUUCCCAUGAUAAAGGGAACUCCGAUUAUUAAAAUCCUAUGUGAUGACUUAUGCCAUAAGAUUUUCAGUUUCUCGUUGAAGUGUGGGAGAGAUUAAACGUCUUUGGUCCAUAAGCCUUUUCCUUGCCACGCUCAGUUGUACAAUUGCAAAAGGAUACCACUGAAAGGCCCUGACUUUUCUCUCAGAUAGGAACCUGGGCAGUCCCAAAGCAGGUCCUGUGCCUGAGUCAGAGUGUGGUUACCCCUGUAUCCUUUAGGAAUGAUGACAUCUGAACCUGUGGACUUCCCUGCAAAAUUAAUAGAUAACAAAUGUUUGCUAUACACUCCUUGGAAUCGCUUGAGACAGCCCAUGUUCAGAGCUUCUGAAAAUCACAGUGUUUCUAUUCAGGUACCAGAAAAAGAUCGGAGUGUUUAUCUACUUUUGAAUAUUUUAGCCUAGUUUGGCUUCCUCUGUUAUGAAUCAUCUACAAGUUAUUUGUAUCUUAGUUUUCUCAUCUUAAAGUCUGGGGAGAGGGAUGUAGAUGGAAUAACCCUCACCUAACCACAAGAGGAUAUGCUGCAGUUCUGGAGGUUCAUGGGCAGAGGAGCAGCCCAGACUGGACUUUCCUCAGCUGAAAUGAUGAGGCAUUUCAUUUGCAUGCCAUUUUCUCUUAAGGUUCUUCAGACACAUACCAGAAGUCCAGGCCUAAUGCUGCUCUCUAGUGGUUUACCAUUUGUGCAAGUGAGACACGUUCCCAGAAACAGGAACGGCUCAUCAUCACCCACAGCCUGUUCACUCCUUUAAUCCCUCUCCCAGUACAGACCAGUAGCUGCUUCCUGCUGAAAAAUCUUGCAAGCAUGAAGAGUCUGUCCUGUAAACUGUGCUGACAAGUUAUGCAGUUUCAUCUGAAACCAUCACAAAACUGUUUUAGCAUCUGCACCUUGUUACUUCACUAUUCACUUUUAUAGAUUACACACACAGAUACACUAAUAGAUUUAUGAGGUUCUUUGGUGGCCCGUUAGGAAAAUAAGCCAUUUACCUACAUCAUUUUCCUAAAAGCAGUUUUAAAUUUUAAUAUUUUUUUUUAUGCAUCCUCCUGAAAGCUUUUGGAAAGCUCAUAACCAAAUAAUCUUCUGGCUCUGCCUUAGCUCCACUUCAACUUUGCAACACAGAUCAUUGCCUCAGUCGCAGUCUUGCCUGGAAAGACAACCAAGACAAAUGGGGAAACAGCAAGGAAAGGGUUACUCCAGAAGGGGGUCUCCCUAGUAGCUGGGACUGCAGCAUUUCAGUACAGGAGGGGGAAUGAUGUGUUUGAGAGCAGUCCUGCAGAGAAGGACUUGGGGUUGCUGGUCGAUGAGAAGCUCGACAUGAGCCAGCAGUGUGUGCUCACAGCCCAGAAGGCCAACCGUAUCCUGGGCUGCAUCAAAAGAAGCGUGGCCAGCAGGUCGAGGGAGGUGAUUCUGUCCUUCCUAUUCCUCUCUUGUGAGACCUCAUCUGGAGUAUUGUGUCCAGUUCUGGAAUCCUCAACAUAAGAAGGAUAUGGAGCUGUUGGAAUGGGUCCAGAGGAGGGCUACGAAGAUGAUCAGAGGGCUGGAGCACCUCCCAUACGAGGACAGGCUGAGAGAGUUGGGCUUGUUCACCCUAGAGAAGAGAAGGCUUAUAGCGACCUUCUAGUACCUGAAAGGGGCCUACAAGAAAGCUGGAGAGGGACUAUUCAUAAAGGCUUGUGGUGAUAGGAUGAGGGGGAACGGGUAUCAACUGGAGAGGGGCAGAUUUAGCCUAGACAUUCAGAAGAAUUUCUUCAUGAUGAGAGUGGUGAGGCACUGGCACAAGUUGCCCAGAGAAGCUGUGGAUGCCCCGUCCCUGGAGGUGCUCAAGGCCAGGUUGGAUGGGGCCUUGGGCAGCCUGAUCCAGUGGGAUGUCCCUGCCCAUCGCAGGGGGUUAGAUGUUCUUUAAGGUCCCUUCCAACUCUAACUAUACUAUGACUCUAUGAUUCUAUGAAGUACUUUGUCUUGAACCCCAAGGACUGUGGAUAGUAGUUGUGGCACUGGGCAAUGUGUGGGGACUCUUUCUUUUUCAUGAGAUCUUCCCAUGUGAUGGGAGAGCAUUGUGUCACUAUUGUAAGUCACUAAGUAACUAUCAUUAUAGUAUGCAAAAUUCUCAGAGGCAGAAUAUAGUAUGUGUAGUGAUGUCUGUCAGUAUGAAACAAACAUACUGGAUGCUUGAUGGUGUAAGUGUGCAUGAGUAAAAGACUACAAGGACCCUUGAAGGCCACUUAGUCCAGCUUCUGCCGGCACAGGUAUUAAAGUAAUGCAUUAGCUUUUUUUAACUUAAAAUUUGCACACUUUCCCCAUCACACCUAUGCUCUUGCGAGAAUGCUGUUCUGAAAGUAGAUUUUGUGACUCAUACAGGUACUAACAAGGAUUUAUUGAGAGUUGAUGAGAUAAACUGGAGUCUAAGGAAGCAUUGCUAAUGACCCAAGCUAUCCUUUGAUGUAAAGAUUUGUGGUGAAAAUGGAAUGUAACAGAAAACUCAGGCUGGGGUUAGGUGAGUAGCAUGUCAUUACCACUAAAAUAGUUGUAUUCUGGUCACCAUUGCUGACUCUUCAAGCGUUCAUUUACCUGAGGGGAUACAAUGCUACAAUCCUAUAGUUCUAAAGUGGUUUUUUUCUGAAGCAAGGAAAAGAAGUUGAGGGUCUUGAGCUGUGAAAGAUUACGUAGAAGAGAGCAGCCAGGUUUUCUCAGGCAAAUGUUUUGGCAUUUCAGAUAAAAAAAAAUCAGGUUGUAAGGCCUUUGUUGUGGUCUCGAAGUAUUCCUAUUUUCCACCUCUCAUGGCAAAAUUAAGCUGCUUAAAUAGAGCUGAGAUACCCAGGACAGAGAAGAAUAGAUGUAAAUUGUCGAAAAGCAAAGUGAUCUAUGCUUAGCAAAAGGGAUGGUUAUUUUCAGGUGUGCUGGAGAAAUGGGGCAGCAUGGAGACAGAAGGCAGUUCAUUUAUCUCAUAAGAAAAUGGUGACCUUCUUUUCAAAAGCUAAGAGGAGAAAUUUGAGAACUAGUAAAACCACAUUAUCUUCCGUUUUGGGCUAUGUAUGCUUUCAGCAGCUUAAGACCUGACAUCACAUGUUUAAAAAAUGUGCUAGGAAAGCUUUCAUGAAAAGAAAUAUUUGAGAUCCUAAUUUUAUAACUCAUCUGAAAAGUAGAGUUUCUAGCCAAAAAGUACUUCAAACACCAAGAUGUGAGUAUCAGCUGGUUAUAAUUUGCAAGAAGAAAAGCAAUAUAACUAGAAAUCAGCACAGUUUCUUCUAUUUCUCUUGGCUACCUGAAAAAUGCUUUUACACAGGUAUUUUCCAGGUUUUUAUUUGCUUUUGAAACCUGAUGGAUUUACAGCACAUACAUGUGAUGUUAUAAUCUUAAUCCUGGAGACUCUCAAGAGUUAGACAUGUAGCAGCGUGAUUGAGUUUAGGUUAUUGCACUGCUGGAAUUUGACAUUAAUGGCAAUUCAAAGAUUAGAGUUGCAUUAUCUUAUACAUCUCCAAACUGUGUUUUUUCAACUGCAUGUUGUUGGUGAGUGAAGUGAGAAUGCUGGAUCGACAGGACUAAAAUAAUAUAGGUGACCCACGAUUGAUUCGUAUUGCAUUGCUAUGUGUACUGUUUAAUCUGUAACCACUCACAUUGUUAUUAUCAGUAGAAUCGUGCUGUGCUACUCUUAAUACAAAGCAUGUGAGAAAAUGUAUCAUAGUUGUCAUUAUCAGUAGAAUUGGGCUGUGUCCCCUUAAUUGUAGCUUCUCCAGCAUAUCCAGGACAAGGAAAAGACCAUCAACACGAGUGUGAAUGCUGUGUGAAAGGAGAUGAACUACGCAGGAAUGCUGCACCUUCAGUUUAAAGAUAAGAGAUAUCCAGCUGCCUCCUUAUCUCCUCUCUUGGGGCACUCCAGGAGAGAGGAGGCAAUGAGCAACUGAGAGCAGAGAUUCCGCAUUUUUGGAAUUAUGUAAGUUGUUUAUUUAAUGAUACAAAAGCUGGACCCUUUGUCGUAAUCUUUAGAGAUCCCACCUACAAGUGGACGCACUUUGUAGGAUACCCUAAUCAUUGGAACAGGCUCUUGGAAUCUUUGCUGCAAAAAGGGGCUCCCGCAGUGACUGCGGAUCUGGGUAAUGAUGAUAGGGCAAUCGGUGAUGUAUCUUUCUUAACUACUAUACUUAUUCUCUUGUAGUAAUGAUUAGACUGUUAACUUGCCGUCCAUUACUACUAAUAAUUUGUUACCUUUCCUGUUUUAAUAAGUUCAGUAAAACUUGAUUUCACAGAGUAUUAGGGAAUUGGGGCUUUUAUGCUGAACGCACUUUGUGCUGAGCACUCUGUAGUAUAACGGCAAGCCGUUCAAGAGCAGUUUCAAUGCUGGGGCCACGUCAUGCAAUACAUGCUGUUAGAGAAAAUAAUCUCUAGCUGCAUUCUGAAGUCGGUCUGGAUUCAACCUGCAAGUUUACUGCUACCUGAAUUCCUAAUAUGUUGGUGGGAUUCUUGGAGAGGUGUUGCUCCCUCCAGUGUGUUAUCCAUGCCUAGAGUUCCUCUGCUUUGCCUCUGUGAUGUUUAUGAGCAGCAGUUGAUUUCUAGGAUAUUUUCUUUAUCCUUGGAAUAGAAAAAGUAGGGGGAAAAAUAAUUGAAAAGGUAAAUCUUGACAAUCAACUAUGGUAUCUUAGCACUGGCUGAUGUUAAAGUCAGGCGUUUUAGAUACCAGUGUUCUGCAGGGUGAAAGAAAGGGAUUUCAGUUGGUCACUGCCUUUCACCUGGAGACUGACAAGGGGCUGCAACAGUUAUACAAGGGUACAUGGCUAUCUCCAUCAGCUGAAGAACUACAUACCUUGUAAACAAUCAAAGCAGGGAAAGGAGGAAAAGAAAAAGAAGGUAACAGUACUUCAGGAAGGCUAUCCGCCAACAGUGGGAUUAUCACGGCAUCUUUUGCAGUUCUCCUAUGCAAAGUUAGUACUUUCCCUGGAUACAGUGGAGAAAUGAGACCUUAUGCCCUAAAUAUUUUGCAUUUUAAAUAGUUCAUAUAUUUUUCAACAGUUACUGGAAUCCGUAUAACCUGCCUGUACUUUUAUCCCCAGGGCAAUGCCAAUAUCCUGACUGCGUGGUAGCUCUAUAGCAGGUCAGCCCAACUCACCUUUUUCCUUCUACAGAUACAAUUACCUAGGCACAACCCAUCAGUGGGGAACAGUAUGAAGGAUAUGAAGGCAUUAAUGGUCAAACCACAUUUCACUAGGAUUAGAUAUAGGACUAAUUAUACAUGCUAAUUGCCAUAUGCAUGCAUAAAAGCAAAACUGCAUGCAUAAAUGCAAAAGAGCAGAGUUUUGCAUAUGAGCGCUGCCCCUUGCAAGUACAUAAGCAUACAAACAUUAACAAAUAUUUGCUCUGUGAGGGAUUUUUAAGAGUGUAUAAGAUCUGUAACAGGAAUUUAAACAGCCUGUACAAAAUACUUGUGUGUUUGUGUACUGAUGAUAAAUUAUGAAUCUCCUUCCCCCACUCUUGUAAUCCAAUGCUGAGAUGGAACUGGAUUACUGUCAAAAUGGUGGCUGUGUCUUCUGUUAUCAACUCUGAAGCAUUGUUGUCACCGACUUUGUGCACAACUUCAAUUAAAUAUUCAUAAAUAUAAAAAGGCACAUUCUUUCACUGAUGUACUGCCAGGCUUUUUAAAAUACGUGUACCCCACUCAUUCCUGCUUACGCAGCAUCCCCAGCACAUGGCUUAAUUAAUGGUGAAUUAUUCCCUCUUUCAUGCAGCCUUUGCUCAAAGUCAUUAUCUGUGAGCCUCUGCUCUUACUAAAGUGAUAUCAGCACCUAGAGAAUGACAGAAUGUCCUCUGGCGUUCAUUUAUCAACCAAAGACUGGAGCUGGCUCAAAACUCAACCUAUAAAAAGGGAGCCAGUCUCCUAUGGCACCUGGCAAUACCUGUGUUGACCAUAAACUGCAAAAGCUACAUGUGGAUUGCAUAUUACACCAAAUAAAGGAAUGUGUAUCCCUGUUCCUUGUUUAGUACUAGUCAUUCAGGGACUACAAAUAGUGAGUUUGAAGUAUUCCGCACACUCUGUGACUAGAUACCAUUCCUGGUGCUGACAUCUGCCCUCUCCUGACAUAACAGUUUGAACACAGACCUGAUUCUAUCUGGGCUUUUUUUAGAAAAUUUUUGCCUAGUGACUGGACUUUCCCAUCAUUAUUAAUGUGUAUCACCAGCUGCUUUCCAUGGAAACUUGUUUUGAGCAGAAGCUGUUGAAUGUAGGUAGUAUUUAAAGCUACACAAAGUGUGCCUCUGUGAGAAGAGAAGCAUCUCUGCCAAUCACUGUUAUCAACAUAGUGACACUGACAUUUCUCUUUUCCCUGGAGAUUGCCAGGUAGUUAGUUAGUCUCUGACUGCUCACUAGGCAGUUCAACAACAGUCACCAUUCCAGAGGGUGUGUUGGAACAUUAAUGUGGGUCUAAUUCAGAGCAGUGGAUGCUUUGUGGAUCAGUGGUCAAAUUGGGAAGAUGACCUUGGAGAGGCAGUAAGAGGGCACCAUGUCGGGACAUGGAUAUGAGGCUAAAGCUGCAGUGGACAAGCAGAUCUGGAAUUAGUUUACAGCUCCAAGUAUACCUGUAGGGCUUAGAAGAGAUCACAGAGUGCCCCGCAGAGAAACAAGCCACUGCUGUUAACCUCUUCUCUCUAGGAGUACUGAUGUUCACACAACUAAUUUAUUCAUCAGAGAGUAAUGGAAUCAGUGCACUGAAACCUACCUGUCAUUAGGAGAAACACUUACGCACCCUUUUCCUGUUGUGUGGACUGAAAACUAGAUACAAGUCAAGAUGUCAUACCAUGGGGUGGCCCCACCAAGCUUAAUGUCUUUUUCCUAGUGACUUGAGGUAAUCAUAGAAUCAUUAAGGUUGGAAAAGACCUGUAAGAUCAUUCAGACCAACCACCAGAUCACUCAGAAGAAUCCACUGGAUCCACUAGAGAGCAUUUCUAACGCAAAAUGAAUCUUCUCUUUCAGUAGCAGGUACUUUAGGACAUUAGUCUACUUUUGCAACACAAUUUACAGAAAAACAUUUAACUGUGUUUAAUCAAGAUGCACAUUUGCAAGUGUAGACAAGCAUCUUAAAUGUAGUGGUAGACACCUCUGUAGUAGAGCUCUCUGUUAGGGUGUAAUUCAACCUAGCAGAACUGGGCUGUAAGACAAAAUCCUUAGAAUCUCAAGGUGCAGACCCUUGAUGUAGAAGGAGCUACAGAGCUGGUUACAGAAGCAGCAAAGCUCCACCGCAGCUAACAUCCCAAGUCUCUCUGCUGCAGUGCCUCAUGAUGUUAUUUCCCUCUGGUUGCCACUACUAACAGCAAGUAGAGAGAAUGACACUCCAGUACUGUUGAGCUGUUUAGUUGUGCACAGGCACCCCUACAGAGACAACAAGCACUGUGGGAACCUGGGACUCGGUAUUUGAGGGACAGAACUCUUACCAGAGAAAGGGUACCAGAGAGAGCCCAAGGAAUGUCAGUGAAUCAUCCUUCCUUUCUUAGCUGCUAGAAAGGUGGAUAUGUUAGGAGGGCAUGUGGGUUGGACAGUAGUGCCUGCUCAAGCUACACCAUAGGAAUGAUUUCGGAGUCCAGAUGCUACAUGUGACAGCAGGCAUGAUGAACUCCUGGAGUAAAUGUCGAGAAUGGUGUUUGUAGAGAAGGUCAAAAAAUGAAAGAGAAAAUCAACUUUCUACAUAUGUACCACUGCAGUAUGUGGCCAGAAGGUAAACUAGGAGGAGGUCUUCUUUAGGAGGCCCCCAAAGGUUCCUGACAGACAUGUGCAGGCUGGUAUGAAUGAUGUAAAAUACUGGAUACUUCAUGUCUUACCUACAUUUAACCUACCACUGGCUCGAUUGAAGGGCCUUGUUCUCCUUUACUGUGUCCACACACUCUGUAUUAACAACUGGAAAAGUGAGAAUUUUUGUCUCCUUCUCUCUUCCUCCUCUUCUCUUUCUCAUUGGACACAUUACUCACCUUUCCCAUCUGCAACUGCAGGACAAUUUAAUUUAAAGGGAAAUAUAUGUAUGCGUAUGUGUAUGCAGUGAAGGCAAGAUGGGAAAAAGAGGAGUCUUUCACAGGGUGAACAGAGGAAGGGAAACAUUCACCUACUCCAAAAGCAGCUCAGAAACUCUGCAGGUUAAUCAGGCCAAUAUUUAAUUAACCUUUACACUCUAAGGUACAAUUCAUGCUCAAAUAAGAAUCAUUCUCAAUGCAGUGCCACUAAUAUGCUUUCUGGACCACAGAUCGUGAGCUUGGAGGCUGCUAGUUGACUUCUCAUCUCUGUUGUUAUCGAUGUUGAGAAAAAACUUUACUCUAGGGAGGGGAGAUCAUAAAAUGGAUGAUAAAUUCAUUAGAGGAUUUUGGCCUGAAGCACUGGUUAAAGGAAACACCAUAACUUCGCAAGCAUUAUCUAUGUCAAAACCUCCUUCCUGUAAAAUAAUUUAUUGCUGUGUAGGUGGAAAAAAAGUACUUGAAAUAAAAAGGUCAAAAAUAUCCUGAAAAGACAGACAGACCCAUAUGAAUUCUAUUGUUCAUGAUAGGGGUGAAAUAUUGUCUAGAGCCUUGUUCUGGCAUCCUGAGAACAAAUCACUGGUGAUUCCAAACGUCAGCAGAAUCUAGUAGCAGAGCUUUGCUGUCUGUACAGUUCAGAGUCUUUGGCAUGAGUUCAAAGUAAAAAUGAAUCUGAAAAUUUCUGAAGUCUGGGAAGCCCAUAUGCAAACCCAGUUAUGUAUCCCGGCAUUUUGGCUGAGACAGUUUUUUAUUACAAGACUUUGAAGCCUGCGUACAAAAAUAAAUUGUCUUUGUGCUCUAUGACUAAAGGCAUCCAAAAUACAGCAGCUUUGUUUAAGUGAACCCAGAAGUUCAAACCCACUUAUUUUCUCUGUUUUUCCUCAUUAAAACUAUCAAAACCUGCUUUCAGUGCCAA